rnacentral:rRNA from 1 species
AUUGAACGCUGGCGGCAGGCCUAACACAUGCAAGUCGAACGAGUGGCGGACGGGUGAGUAAUGCUUGGGCAUCUAGCUUAUGGAGGGCGAUAACUACGGGAAACUGUAGCUAAUACCGCCUACCAUAGGCUGAGCCUAAGUGGGAUUAGGUAGUUGGUGGGGUAAAGGCUAACCAAGCUGACGAUCUCUAGCUGGUCUGAGAGGAUGACCAGCCACACUGGAACUGAGACACGGUCCAGACUCCUACGGGAGGUAGCAGUGGGGAAUAUUGAGCAAUGGGCGAAAGCUGACGCAGCCAUGCCGCGUGAAUGAAGAAGGCCUUCGGGUGGUAAAGUACUUUCAGUAGGGAGGCGUUAACUACAGAAGAAGCACCGGCUAACUCCGUGCCAGCAGCCGCGGUAAUAC